AAUAAAGGGAUGGCGUAAAAAUCCUAAUGUGAAUUUUUCCUACUGCGCGUGAUUUCUAAUUCUCGCCCGACCUACUCGGUUCGGCCGUCAUCGGCAUGGAUCGAAAUCCUUGAGAUGUACAUUCUACAUGAAAUGAAGGAAAAAAAACGUGUUAAAUUUGUCAACGUCGCUCCUCGCAACGUCGCUCCUCGCAAGAGUUGAGACCACAGUCAGAGUACCUAUACCGACGAAGAAGAUCCGAAGCGAUCUACGUACUCUGCCACAGUUGAGACUCGAAAAGUUAGAGGCUGGCCAGGUGCUCCAUACGUUAAGUUAGAAAGUGAUAUAAAAAUAAAAUGUUAUAAUUAUGCAGACGCAUUGAGUAUUGAUAAUAUUUUUAAUCGGAAACAGUGUGGUAUGCGAUUAAAUGGAAAUUAAAUUAAACAUUUUUAUAUAACUGAUAACUCUUGUGAGGAAGGGUGAAGGGAAAAGAGACAGAUGAAGCAGAAAAACAAACUAAUUUUAUUGGAAAUUAAAACAAAAUUGUAAUUUUGACAGUUAAUGUUUUUUUAGAACAUUAGAACGUUAUAGCACAAGCAUCACGAAGGAGAAGCAGGAAACAUACAAAGAAUCAAGGUCCGUCAUAUACACAGCAAAAUUUAAAUAGUUAUAUAUGUUUAGAGCUUUCAAAAUUAAAGAUAUAUGAUGUCAUGA